rnacentral:rRNA from 1 species
UACGUAGGGACCGAGCGUUGUCCGGAAUCAUUGGGCGUAAAGCGCGUGUAGGCGGGACGGUAAGUCGGGUGUGAAAGCCCUCAGCUCAACUGAGGAAGUGCGCCCGAAACUACCGUUCUUGAGUGCCGGAGAGGGUGGCGGAAUUCCCGGUGUAGAGGUGAAAUUCGUAGAUAUCGGGAGGAACACCAGUGGCGAAGGCGGCCACCUGGACGGACACUGACGCUGAGACGCGAAAGCGUGGGGAGCAAACAGG